UACGGGGGGGGCAAGCGUUGUUCGGAAUUACUGGGCGUAAAGGGUUCGUAGGUGGCUUGUUAAGUCAGACGUGAAAUCCCUCGGCUCAACCGGGGAACUGCGUCUGAGACUGAUGAGCUCGAGUGCAGGAGAGGAACGCGGAAUUCCAGGUGUAGCGGUGAAAUGCGUAGAUAUCUGGGGAACACCGGUGGCGAAGGCGGCGUUCUGGACUGCAACUGACACUGAGGAACGAAAGCCAGGGGAGCAAACGGG
rnacentral:rRNA from 1 species